GUAAAUUGAAGGCCAGAGACAGGAAUUUGCCUAAAUCACAGAGUCUCACUUUGUCAUCCAGUCUGGAGUGCGAUGGCAUGAUCUCAGCUCACUGCAGCCUCCGUCUCCCGGGUUCAAGCAAUUCUCCUGCCUCACCCUCUCUAGUAGCUGGGAUUACAGAGCAUCAAAAUAUUAUUUUUGUUUAUGUGGCCCCAGGACAGAUGAAACUUGUACUGGUGCAAAAAUCCAUCCCAGUCAUAACCAUUAGUCAUGAUAACGGACUUAAUGUCAUUGACAUACUUGAAACGGACUAUGAUAAUUAUAUAUAUUUUUAUAACAAGAAUAUCAAGAAUGGGGAAACAUUCCUAAUGCUGGAGCUCUAUGUUCGAACACCGGAUGUGAGCUCACAACUCAAGGAGAGGUUUGUGAAAUAUUGUGAAGAACAUGGGAUUGAUAAGGAAAACAUAUUUGACUUGACCAAAGUUGAUCGCUGUCUCCAGGCCCGAGAUGAGGGAGCAGCCUAGGACUCCGGGUUGGUGAUCUCUGACACCGGUGGAGAGAGGGUGGCCCAGGGACCAGUGCCUUCCAAAAGCAUUAGGGGUUUGCACCCAAAGAUACCAUAAAAAUAAUUUGGUAGGAAAGCUUGUGGGAAAAUCUUGAAAUCUGGAGUUGGAAGACCUGGAUAGAGGACCCAAUUCUCCCAUAAGCUUUGAGCAAAUAACCUAAGACUUAAAAAGGAGACAAUGGGCCAGGUACAGUGGCUCACACCUGUAAUCCCAGCACUUAGGGAGGCAGUGGCAGGAGGAUCGCUUGAGCCCAGGAGCCCAAGACCAGCCUGGGCAACAUAAUGAGAUACCAUUCUCCAUGAAAGGGAGAAAAAAAAAAGAAGAGGAAACAAUGAUGCCUAGUUUACAGAGUUGCUGUGUAGAUAUAAUGCUUGCGAAAAGGGCCCAGUAAUUGAAGAUGUGCUAAAAAUCACUAGGAUUUCACGUUCGAAAUGGAAAAAGUAGUAGGUUGUAUGAAACUCAAAUAUGUUUCUGUGUUUGUGGACCAACUCCCAGGAGGCCAUCUCACCCUCCAACUUAUAAUCCACAUUUCUUCUUCUGUACUCUGUAUGUCCUUGACGUCUAACCUGGGAAUGGAACUGUCUUCCCAUUUUCCACAAACCUGGAAAAUAGAUCUUGAGUUUUCUCAACUACCUUAGAUUUAUCGUGGGGCUUUCAGAUAAUGUAUGUGAAAGUCUUAGCAGCUUGCAUAAAGCAAAUAUUUAAUAAGAGAUAUCUACAGAUUUUGCCAUUAUUCCUCAAUUUAUCAAAAAUUCUUCAAAACUUCUGAUGUUGAAGAUGGCAGAAACAAACCUGGGACCCUUUAUUACUUCCUUUCUCUUUUUCAUGUAUUCAGCUGAGAGAAGGUUAAGAUGGCAUUAGCAAUAGCAAAAAAGCAAAAGUCAUUUACUCAACAUCCUCCCUCCCCCUUUUCUGGUAUACAACAUAAGUUAGAAUACAGGGUCAGAACUAUUUCUUCAUCAUUUUUCUCUGUAAUAGAAUUUCUCUUCAUCAUUCAUGCAAUGCAAGGAAUGUUUAAUAAGUUCCUGUGUUCUCUCUCUUCUCUGCUUAAUUAGUGCUGAGUGAAUGAGUGAUGAGUGAAUGAGUGAAUGCUGAGUGCUGAGUGAAUGUUUCCUCACCUGGACUCCAGUAUCUUCCCUUCCUGAUCCCCAUGUCCUCUUAUGACAAGUUCUGUGACCUGAUUUCCAUCAUAUCACACAUGAAGACGUCAUCCCUGCAUCUUUAGGAUCUUCCCUAACUGCCUAAGAAGACUCAGAAAUUCACCAAGAAUCAAAGGUUUUCUUUGAAUUUCUGACUGUCUUUGUCACAGCCAGGGGAACUCUACAUGAAUAACACCUGACUCUACAUGAUCAAUAAAUCAUUAACCUUGC
rnacentral:lncRNA from 1 species